AGACCACUAUGGUGACUUAUAAGUAACUCACUGUACUUUAGUAUCAGACCAUCUGAAUUUUUAAUUCAGUGAUGAAAGGAUACUGGGUGCAGUCAAGUACUUAUCAAGUCGGUGUGUGAAUCAAGAUGAAAUUAAUCCCUCUGAAUUAGUAGGAGAUAUGCAUCAGUAUAUUUUAAUUUAGUAAAAUCUUGGUCAGAAUAAUCUAUGAGAUAAAUUUGAAAAUGCUGAAUAUAAUGUGAUCGACUAAAUUAGAGCUGACAGUUAAAUCCUAGGUCACUUUGAGCAUUAGGGUCAAAAAGAUGAAUUAUACGAUAACUAUACGCCAGUAGAUUCUAGAAUAUUACUUUACAAUACUUCGACCUAUCCGAUCGUCUGGUCAUCAUUGCUAGAUGGUUACAUCAAUUGGUAUAGAAAGUUAUUCUUAUACUAUCAGUUUAGAUUCAAACCUAGAGGUCAUACGCAUUAGAAGUUUAGUCAGAUCUAAUGGCUGAAGAGUUCAAUUGGAUUGUGACUCUGGUGAGGAGUCCUAUUGGGAUUGGGACUUUGGAAGAGAAUCCCAUUGGGACUAGGACUAUACUAUUAAUAAAUAAUUAAUUAGUAAUUGACUUAAUUUGAUUGAGUAAAGAGCUUUGGAUCAAGUCUAAUUGAAUUAA
rnacentral:lncRNA from 1 species